rnacentral:sRNA from 1 species
UCGGGACUACGUGAUUGGAUACGGCUCCAGAUGGAUAAACUGGCGGCGGACCGUGCUUGGGCCCCCGACCGGUCCGCCCAUUGAUAGCCAGCAGCCGCUGCAACCCCAGGGAG